UUUUGCUCUCCGUCCAACCAGGGUUCUGAAGAGACCAUCCGGGUGGUGUCAAUGGACAGGGACUACCACGUGGAGUGUUACCACUGCGAGGAUUGUGGACUCCAGCUGAAUGAUGAGGAGGGCCGCCGAUGCUAUCCACUGGAGAGACACCUGCUCUGCCACACCUGUCAUAUCAGGCGCUUGAGCACUCAGGUGUCGGCGCACUCUCCCUCCGGGUACCCCAUGCAUAUCACGGAGCUCUGAGCCUCCCGCUUCCCCUCUGCUCAAGGCCAGGAGGAAGACACCUGCUGGGGAAGGGCUCAACACAAGAAAGACAAAGCAGCUGCCAUUAUUUAUUGCUCCUGAGAUUGGAAAGGAAGGGCCCCCUCCUGGGUUGGCUCUGUGUACAAUUUGCCUGAGUGAUUCUUUCCACGAUGCUGGUACUUGAAAAGUCAUGCAGCCCAUGGAUUGGAUGGGGAAAGGCCAGGAUGUCAGAGCUGUUGGGAUGACUGGCCCACCCAUGAAUGCUGGCUUGUUGCCAUUUUUACGGUUGAGUAUUUGAGCUCCCAGAAGAAGCAUUAGCUUUCCAACAGGAAAGAGACCAAAAGAUUUCCACCAUGUUUUAAGUCUCUUGCACCCUCUGACCUUGUGGUUCUCAGGCUCUGAGAGACACGGUGGCGGUUGCAUGCGUCAAAAGGGUGAUGGCCAAAUUGAAUGUGACUUAAAAAAGAAGCAACUUUGUAGGGGAUACCUGUGAGUGGGUGGCCUUUUGUUGGGUUUUUCUGCAAAACAAGAGUACACAAGACACCGUGUGCUGGAAGCCCAUGAAUGAAAGGACAGAGAGCAUUCCCAUGUCAGGCUGUGUCAGGCACGGUUGUUAGGGGUUUGGCGAGGACGUGGGGGUUUGGUGUUUCCAGCUAAGGGGAGAGCUGCAGGCUCACCAGGAAGACCGGUUACCUCACCGUAGCUUUGGGGGAUCCAACAGGCAGCAACUGUCUGCAGGAGAUCCUUGCUGAAAGCCGCGUUGCAGGCGGAGGGAAAGAGCACAGACUGCUCCAUUCCCAACCCAGAGGUUUUUUUUCUUAGAAUUCUUCUGCAGCAGACAUGUGAAUGCGUCAGAACGGGAAAAUUACAUACAAGUGAUACGAGAUUAUUCAUUAAAUUUAAUUCAGAUUUGAAUUCAGCCAAAUUGAGCUUCUGUCCCAUCCAUUUCUUUGGACCUGCCACCACUUAUAUUUUUGAAGGCAGUCUUCCCAGCACCCCAAAGUUCAGAGGCCGCCCGGCGCCCAGAACCGAUUCUGCCCAAACAACAGCAGAACCUGCCAGGGCCCAGGUCCACUGGGGUUGCCUGCAGAAGCUCUGCUAGUUGCUCUCUCUUCCCCAGUACAAGGAAAGUGGAUCCUGUGCUGCAGGCAAAGAAACAGGUUCUCUGGUAAAGAAGGAUCCUCCAACAUCACUUGGCACUUCUCAAAGUCACUGUUUUGAAACUGACUUAAAUAGCUUCACUUGGAGCUGCCUGCAGGAAGGAUCAAACAGAUAAAAAGGUUGAUUUCAGCUGCAUGGUGGUGGCCACUGUCUUGACUCUUGCCACCCCACUGUCACCACCUGAAGAGAUCCUGACCCCUGCAAAUGUACAACACACCGUUCCCUCGCUUUCGGUUUAAGGGACGGCAGUUCUGUGCUAUGACUUGCAAGUAUAGCGAUACUACUUCUGGAGGUAUUUUUAAAAAAACAGUUGCUUGUUUUUUACAACUUGGCUAUAACCCAGCUUUAAAGGCCAAGCUAAUGAUACUUGAAUCCACAGCACUUGCAUGAUGAUUUCCAUGGCCUCUUGACCAUGCAAAGAAUUUUUAGGUAGGUCACAAAACAGUUGAACAGUUUUUAAAAGUCUCAGGAAACCAUAGUCUUUUUUUUCUAGGCAUUUGGAUGUAAAGAAAUUGGCUCAGAUGUACAGCAGGGAAAUACCUAAUUUGGAGCAUAGAGGAGGUUUUUUUAAUUAGCAAAAAUUAAAACAUAAAAGAAAUAAUGUGUUACGUGUUAGAAGUCCUACACUUCUAUUUUGGCUAAACUUUUAAAGCACAUUUCCAACUCUGGGAAAAUCUGUGUUCCAUAUGGAAAAUGUUUACUUUUUCUAUUAAAAAAUAAGCUAAGUUUUGAUCAUUUCGAGACAAGGAGGUGCCGUUAAUGUAAUUAAAGCUGACCACAUCAAUUAUGCGCUUCAGGCUCAGCCAUGUUGUAUUAAUUCCUUGCAUACAUUGACCUUGAAACUGUUUUAGCUCAGCUCCUUCGGAUAAAACCACCUGGACCAGCCCUUCAUAAGCUGAAAGCUGGUGGUGCUCCAGCAACUUCAGUGAAAGUUCGCUUUGGGAAUCAGAUGGAAAUACACGCCUAAAUCUGUUUGAAAAACUGCAAAAAAGGCCCCUCGCGACAGAACAGCCAUCCUGACUUCCCCCAGACUGUCCCGAUAGUCCUGUCAGCUGCAGCAGGACCGUUUUCCCAAGUCUGAAGGGCUGAGAGGAGCAGGGAAGAAUCAGGCGAGUCAGUGCAAGAGGAAUGUAAGCAGCUCAAAGCCCCCGUCCCCGUCCCAUCAGAUCAGCCCUUUUAAGGUUGGUCCAGAUGGUCCUGUUGGCCUUUUUCGGGUUUUGAAGUUUCUAGAAAGUCACACUAAUUCCUUCGAUUUUCCUGCAAAGGUUCCACCUUUUUCCUCUUGCAGAUGGUUCCUUCUUGGAAAGUGCCUCUCAUUCUUUCGCUGUUGAGUUUUAUGGCAUCUUGAUUAUUUUACUGUCACGCUUGUCCGUUUCUACUACUGCCUUAAUCUUCCACAAAUAAGCCUAACAGCCAAAAUAUGUACACGGGCUGCUAUUUUUCAAACAUGCCAGGCUAUUCAUUUCAUUUGUCGAAAAUAUUUCAGGGGAUUACCUUUUUUAGAUACUUAACCUGGUGAUUUCCUUCGUAAACAUUUUGCUGUUUUUAUUUUUGUCUUCUCCCCCCAUUGCCAAAAUCUGAUCACAAAUCUGAAGAGGUCUCUUUCUUUCAAUGCCUUUUUUCAUUUAAAAAAUAUAGUCUUUAAAGAGAAUGCAGCUAGAAAGUGUCCUACAGCAACAACAAAAAAGAUUCUGCAAAAAAAUGUGAAACAUGCUACCUCCCAUCCGUGGUGGCUGAACUGUGGCACCCAGGGCCCCUGGAGGGCUGGGCUGGCCCUGCUCCAUAGAAAGAAGCCUGGUUGCUUUGCCCACGGGCCUCUUUCGCUGAACGCAGUCUGGAGGAAGGGCCCUUACCCACCAGCACUGCCCCGGGAAGCUGCCUGCCAGCCUUCCUCCUCGGCAGGAGGUUCUCCAGCCCAAGGACAAGGGGUGCUACACCAAGGGACGCCGGAGGGGGGAAGCUGCAGGCCAACACUGGGAGUUCGGGGCCAGCUCUCCGUUUCCUUCAGAGAAUUUGGCUCCACAGGGAUGAAGUGCUUUUAACAUUUGUGCCAAAAUAUUAUUUAUGGGAGAGCCUCCUUCCUUCCUUCCUUUUCACCUAUUCCUAUGCGCACGAGCGAGGAACCCGAGAUAGAUGCACUUAACGAAAA